rnacentral:rRNA from 1 species
GGGUUGUGAGGUUAAGCGACUAAGCGUACACGGUGGAUGCCCUGGCAGUCAGAGGCGAUGAAGGGCGUGCUAAUCUGCGAUAAGCGCCGGUAAGGUGAUAUGAACCGUUAUAACCGGCGAUACCCGAAUGGGGAAACCCAGUGUGACUCGUCACACUAUCAUUAACUGAAUCCAUAGGUUAAUGAGGCGAACCGGGGGAACUGAAACAUCUAAGUACCCCGAGGAAAAGAAAUCAACCGAGAUUCCCCCAGUAGCGGCGAGCGAACGGGGAGGAGCCCAGAGCCUGAAUCAGCAUGUGUGUUAGUGGAAGCGUCUGGAAAGGCGCGCGAUACAGGGUGACAGCCCCGUACACAAAAGCGCAUGUGCUGUGAGCUCGAUGAGUAGGGCGGGACACGUGGUAUCCUGUCUGAAUAUGGGGGGACCAUCCUCCAAGGCUAAAUACUCCUGACUGACCGAUAGUGAACCAGUACCGUGAGGGAAAGGCGAAAAGAACCCCGGCGAGGGGAGUGAAAAAGAACCUGAAACCGUGUACGUACAAGCAGUGGGAGCACCCUUUGGGGUGUGACUGCGUACCUUUUGUAUAAUGGGUCAGCGACUUAUAUUCUGUAGCAAGGUUAACCGAAUAGGGGAGCCGGAGGGAAACCGAGUCUUAAUUGGGCGUUAAGUUGCAG